rnacentral:rRNA from 1 species
GCCCUAGUAACGGCGAGUGAAGCGGCAACAGCUCAAAUUUGAAAUCCGGCUUCGGCCCGAGUUGUAAUUUGUAGAGGAUGCUUUUGGCGCGGCGCCUUCUGAGUUCCCUGGAACGGGACGCCAUAGAGGGUGAGAGCCCCGUACGGUUGGACGCUAAGCCUCUGUAAAGCUCCUUCGACGAGUCGAGUAGUUUGGGAAUGCUGCUCAAAAUGGGAGGUAAAUGCCUUCUAAAGCUAAAUACCGGCCAGAGACCGAUAGCGCACAAGUAGAGUGAUCGAAAGAUGAAAAGCACUUUGAAAAGAGGGUUAAAUAGCACGUGAAAUUGCUGAAAGGGAAGCGCUCAUGACCAGACGUGUGCCCUGUGAAUCAUCCAGCGUUCUCGCUGGUGCACUUCGCUCGGUACAGGCCAGCAUCGAUUUCUCCAGGGGGACAAAAGCCUCGGGAACGUAGCUCCUCCGGGAGUGUUAUAGCCCGUGGCAUAAUACCCUUGGGGGGAUCGAGGUCCGCGCUCCGCAAGGAUGCUGGCGUAAUGGUCAUCAGCGACCCGUCUUGA